rnacentral:misc_RNA from 1 species
UCCCGGUUAACCCGGGCAGUCUCGUUAGAGUUCCCAUCCUAAAUGCUGGCAACUAACGAUAAGGGUUGCGCUCGUUGCGGGACUUAACCCAACACCUCACGGCACGAGCUGACGACAGCCAUGCAGCACCUGUGCAGAGGUCCCGAAGGAACACUUCAUUUCUGAAGCUGUCCUCUGCAUGUCAAGCCUGGGUAAGGUUCUUCGCGUUGCAUCGAAUUAAACCACAUGCUCCACUGCUUGUGCGGGUCCCCGUCAAUUCUUUUGAGUUUCACCCUUGCGAGCGUACUCCCCAGGCGGCAUACUUAUCACGUUAGCUUCGGCACAGCCGGGGUUGAGUCCGGCUACACCAAGUAUGCAUCGUUUACGGCUAGGACUAC